CUGGCCGUUACAAUAAUUGCAUUUCUCAUACAACGUACGGUUUACUUAAAACAAUUUCUCUUCUUUUUUCUUUCUUAUCCUUUCCCUCUUUCUCUCUCUAUGAAUCUGUUUUCUUCUUCAUUUUCCUCUUCCUCUCUCUCCCGUCUUCUCUUCUUCCUCUUCAUUUGCUACAGAAACAACUUCAAGUAUCCACUACCUAAUAACGAUGUCGCCGUCUCAGAAAAUUGUCGAUGGCCUUUGAUUAAGAGAUGUUAUGUUGUUCUAUCAUUGAUGUACGGUCAAAAUUUUGAUCAUCAAAAUUCACGGCUCUUUAUUAUGAAAUUCGUCGUUUCUAUGCUUCAGAUAUUGUUGAUCUGUUCGGGGUUUAGAUCUUUCAGGCGUCAACGUU